UCAUCGGACAAACCCUAACCACGCCUCCCUCCUGACUCAACUCAUGGGACAAACCCUAACCACGCCUCCCUCCUGACUCAACUCAUGGGACAGACCCUAACCACACCUCCCUCCUGGCUCAACUCAUCGGACAAACCUUAACCACGCCUCCCUCCACCAUGAGCUCUGGCCACUCCCACAUAAGGACACACGAGGACACAAGGGGCGUCUGACACCCCCGGGACUGGGCCCCCAACCUCUGCCCGCCAGCCAUUCGGGGACAGGUGGACUCAGAUACGUGGGUGGGGGAGACCUGGGUGUGGCAGAGCCGAGGGAGUGCAGGAGAGACCGUGAGAGCAGGACUCUGCCUAGCACCCUGGAGAUCCUCCCCAGAACCCACCAGAUCCAUCCCUUUCCUCCUCCUUAGGGACUGGGGCCAGCAGGCACUGCUCCGGCACCCACUCUCUGGAGGAUGGAGCCAACGUUGCCUUGGAAACGGGCAUCCAGGAGUGGAGUUCAUUCCUAACACGUUCGGCUUUUUGUCUCUUAAUUCAUUGGACUUAAUAAUGACGUCUGCGCAGAGGAGGAGCAGGGGAGGAGGCGGCUGGAGAAGCUCGCCUCCGAGGCCAACUCUCCCUCAGCCCUGCCUCUGCCCCUGGUGAUCCUCUGAGCCCAGGAUCCGGUGACUCAGUGGUGUCCCCAGCAGGCUCUGGAAUGCACUGCAAGUCACACCACGCCCUGGGCAAAAGCCAGCUCCCCCUUCCCCUUCUCUCCCCUCUGGGCUCUGAAGGCCACAGGUCAGCCUCCCCUGGAGCCCUGGCUUGCGCAGCCACCGCUCUGCCUUGACCCUGCAGCGCCUCAGGCUCCUGCCCCCUGCCUCAGGCUAGGGAGCCCAGGAACCCAGGGAAAGGGAACCCUGCCACGCCCCUCCCCGAAACCUCUCGCAGCUUCUAACUCCCCGGGCCUUGGCUCCGGACCACUGCUUCAGGAAACACAAACUCCACCUCCCCGUGAAGAGACCCAGCAUCUGAGAAACAAGAUGAAGGGAAGGGGGCAAAACCUCGGCUGGAUGUCAUCCUACCAAAGGCGUGGCGGCGUCCUUCCUCCCUGGCCCUCAGCCCUUCCCGGAGCUCCGGGGCCAGCAGGGGCAUCCAGCACUCCGAGUGGGAGGGGAAGCCUCUCGGCGCCUGAGCCGGUCAGCCCGAGGUCUGGAUCAGGCCCCAGUGCUUUCAGUAGCAAGCGUCCAUGUGGGUUCCCCAGGGACCAUCGCCUGAGCACUUUGGCAGCUCCGAGUGGCAGCCACGCCUUCCAGGUCCCGGGUGAGAAGGCCCUGCAGCUCUCCGCCGUGCUCUGUGCACACGUCACCAUCUACUCAGCAAGCCCCUGGUGUUCCUGGCGGCAUGAAGGUGUCACGGCCCUUCCAACAGAGCGACUCCAUCCUGAAUAGGGGCUGAGUGAAAUGAGGCUGAGACCAGCUGGGUUCCAGGACCUUGGGCGUUCAGUCACCAGAUAUUACAGUUAAGGGAACAAGUGAAUAAUGUUUACCAAAAAGACCCAGGAAAUAAUGUCCUGAUGUCCGAUCUCUUAGGAACAAAAGCAUUCUUAGCUUAAGAAUGAGUUUCGCUUUGAACAUAGUAACAUAGAUUCUUGCUAGACAGUAGUUACACAAAGAUAAACAAUCCUUUGUCAGGAGCCCCGGCAGCGGAGCAACCUCCCCCGUGAUUUUUUGGCUUUCUUGUCUCACAUAGAAACUCCCACUACACCUGAGGUGGGCCCCUUCCUCCUCUUGCUUUCAGGAACUCCCUGCUCUGUCUACAGAGUAGCCAUUGUUUUAUUCCUUUACUUUCUCAAUAAACUUGCUUUCUGUGGA